ensembl:lncRNA
ACACUGUGUCCUCUAGACCCUUCACCAUCUUCGUAGCCCUCCUUUGGAUACUCUCUACUGCACUAAGCAACUCUCUGUGCUCACAACUACUUUUGGAACAAUAAAACUGAACAUCUUGCUUUUAAAAUUCAAGGCCAUGAUCACAAGAGCAGACCCACAUGUAACAAUGCUGCAGGGCUCUUGGAAUACAACAACUAGCUUUCAAAGCAAGAUAAAAACUCAUCCUCAACAUACCUUGCAGACCAAAAGUCUGGGGAGCAAGGAGAAUGCAGAAUGGCAGAAGGGUAAAAAGGAAUGCAAAGGAAUAACCUGCAGAACAUUCUGUGCAUUGUCUGAUUUGUGAUGUGCUUUUCUCCAAAUUGCAGAAAAGAAAAAGAAAGACACAAGCUGACUGCAGAUGUUGAUUUGCAUGUUAAAGAAUACAAAUCUGGAGAAAAUUGCAAAAACUGCAUCACAGAGAGCAGACUCGGUACAGCUAGAUCUGUACUUUUGUGAUAAAACUGAUCCAAAAGGAAGAAAUAAAAGUAAUCCAUCAGAGGUGUGCUGUGGGUCUCAACCUUGCCUCUGAAUGGGAGCUCCUGGGGAGUGCCCAUGCACACCUGACCUCGACUUUGCUGACUGCUGUAAGAAGAUACAUAACCACAGGAUUUAUCUUUUGUCCUCUGUGGGCCCCACAGAGAGAGAAAGAAAAGAUCAGCUCAAGCAGAAAUGAAAGGAUGUGGAGAUUAAGUGCUUAUCUGGAAGGUCAAGAAAAGUCAAGCAAGAAAAAGCAAGAGAGAAAACACAAGACAAAGAGUCACCAAGCAGUACUGUUCCACAAUCAUCACUGCAAUCUGGCUCUCUUGCAGGUGUGUAUCUUUUGUCACCUGAGUAUUGUGUAGAGUUAUUUUGCUCACCAGAAUUGUAUCAUGGGAAUGUGACAAAAAGAUCAGACUUUGAAGUGGGUAACUAUUCAAAUAAAAACAGAGUGC